AGUAGAAUGGCUGAGAAAAAUAGGUGAAAGAUUGUAAAUCUUUUAAGGAGAUUAAACUCUUCUACUA
rnacentral:tRNA from 1 species